GACGAACGCUGGCGGCGUGCUUAACACAUGCAAGUCGAGCGGUAAGGCCCUUUCGGGGGUACACGAGCGGCGAACGGGUGAGUAACACGUGGGUGACCUGCCCUCAGCUCUGGGAUAAGCCUGGGAAACCGGGUCUAAUACUGGAUAUGACUCCAUGGCGCAUGUUGUGGGGUGGAAAGCCUUGUGCGGCUGAGGAUGGGCCCGCGGCCUAUCAGCUUGUUGGUGGGGUGANGGCCUACCAAGGCGACGACGGGUAGCCGGCCUGAGAGGGCGACCGGCCACACUGGGACUGAGACACGGCCCAGACUCCUACGGGAGGCAGCAGUGGGGAAUCUUGCGCAAUGGGCGAAAGCCUGACGCAGCGACGCCGCGUGAGGGAUGACGGCCU
rnacentral:rRNA from 1 species